rnacentral:rRNA from 1 species
GACGAACGCUGGCGGCGUGCUUAACACAUGCAAGUCGAACGAUGAUGCUCCAGCUUUGUUGGGGUGGAUUAGUGGCGAACGGGUGAGUAACACGUGAGUAACCUGCCCUCUUCUUUGGGAUAACGGUCGGAAACGGCUGCUAAUACUGGAUAUUCACUCAUUGGCGCAUGUUGGUGGGUGGAAAGGUUUUUUCUGGUGGGGGAUGGGCUCGCGGCCUAUCAGCUUGUUGGUGGGGUGAUGGCCUACCAAGGCUUUGACGGGUAACCGGCCUGAGAGGGUGACCGGUCACAUUGGGACUGAGAUACGGCCCAGACUCCUACGGGAGGCAGCAGUGGGGAAUUUUGCACAAUGGGCGCAAGCCUGAUGCAGCGACGCCGCGUGAGGGAUGAAGGCCUUCGGGUUGUAAACCUUUUUCGCUCAUGGUCAAGCCGCAGCUUUGGGUUGUGGUGAGGGUAGUGGGUAA